GUGAGCCAGUGAGCGGGUUACUCGCAAGAGAGGAAACUCCUCCCUCAAAGCAGGCAUCCGAAUCAGCGAUGAUUAGCCGGAGACGGCGGGCUACGGAACAGAAAAGAUAUUCAGUCAGGACGAACAUCAUGAUGGUCUAGAUGGCCUGAGUAUGAACUGAUACUGAAAUGAAAAAUGCCGACCCGGGUGGAGCAAGGCCAAAUAGAGCGUAGAGUUCCUGCACUUGCUCAGGUUGGCUGCUAAGUGGAAUCC
rnacentral:RNase_P_RNA from 1 species